rnacentral:misc_RNA from 1 species
UGAGGAAACAUGUGACGAUGAU